AGGAAUUAAUACCCCCAUAAUAUAAUGACUGGCAUCAGUGAUUAUUGAAAACUCCGGUGGAUAGAUGGGCACGCGCAAGAUUAGAUAGUUGGUGAGGUAACGGCUCACCAAGUCUGCGAUCUAAGGGGCCUGAGAGGGUGAUCCCCCACACUGGUACUGAGACACGGACCAGACUCCUAGGAGGCAGCAGUGAGGAAUAUUGGACAAUGGGUGAGAGCCUGAUCCAGCCAUCCCGCGAAGGACGACGGCCCUAUGGGUUGUAAACUUCUUUUGUAUAGGGAUAAACCUUUCCACGUGGAAAGCUGAAGGUACUAUACGAAUAAGCACCGGCUAACUCCGUGCCAGCAGCCGCGAAUACGGAGGGUGCAAGCGUUAUCCGGAUUUAUUGGGUUUAAAGGGUCCGUAGGCGGGCGUAAGUCAGUGGUGAAAUCUCAUAGCUUAACUAUGAAACUGCCAUUGAUACUGCGAGUUGAGUAAGGUAGAAGUAGCUGGAAUAAGUAGUGUAGCGGUGAAAUGCAUAGAUAUUAUAGAACACCAAUUGCGAAGGCAGGUUACUAUGUCUUAACUGACGCUGAUGGACGAAAGUGGGGAGCGAACAGGAUUAGAUACCCUGGUAGUCCACGCCGUAAACGAUGCUAACUCG
rnacentral:rRNA from 1 species